UACGGAGGGUGCAAGCGUUAUCCGGAUUCACUGGGCUUAAAGGGUGCGUAGGCGGGCAGGUAAGUCAGUGGUGAAAUCUCCGAGCUUAACUCGGAAACUGCCGUUGAUACUAUUUGUCUUGAAUCUCGUGGAGGUAAGCGGAAUAUGUCAUGUAGCGGUGAAAUGCUUAGAUAUGACAUAGAACACCAAUUGCGAAGGCAGCUUACUACACAACGAUUGACGCUGAGGCACGAAAGCGUGGGGAUCAAACAGG
rnacentral:rRNA from 1 species